CAUCAAACGAAAUAUUUCGGCGCCGCUGGGUAAAAUUUCAAAAAAAUUCUCUCACUAAAAGCGCGCCAUCGUAAUCGUCUCUUUCAAGUUUCAUCUAUUCACCUCCCUGCUGCAACUCUUUUUCUGCCUACUAAACACACAGACGACAGAGUUUCAAAAAAAGAGUAAAAAAUGGCAGACAUAUCCCAUCUAGAAAAAAUGGGCAGAGAGCUCAAGUGCCCCAUUUGGUAAAUCUGUUUUAUUUCUAUAUUUCGUGUAGACUUACUUUAUUUUCCCGAAGUUUUAAUGGGUUUCACUGAUUUUGAACCGAAUUAGUGUCUAUCGAUAUUAAAUUGUUCUGUUGAGCAAUUUAUGGGCACUAAUAAUCUUGAACUAGUCGGAAGUUUCACUUCGUUUACUAUAUUUCUCCGUAAUUUAAAUGGGUUUCUUAGGAUUUUAAUAGAUUUAUUGUAAUUUCAUAAAAAAUUGUUGAAAAAUAAACUGGGUUCGAAGAAUUAUAAAUUAGUUGCCGACUGAGUUUUUUUAAUUGAUUUUCUACUUUUUAUUUUACCCUUUUGACAGCUUGAGUCUUCUAAAUUCCGCUGUUUCACUUACCUGCAAUCAUGUAUUUUGCAAGUAAGCUCUUUCCGUACACUUUUCUGUUCGAGCAUGUCAUUUAUACGUGCGAGGGACUCAAUUUAAUACAUCUGUUUAAUGAUUCAGUUCAUGUCUGGAGAAAUCUAUGCGAUCAACAUCCGAUUGUCCGGUGUGCAAAGUUCCAUAUCGACGNCACGAAAGACGAAGUA
rnacentral:lncRNA from 1 species